rnacentral:rRNA from 1 species
GGAGCCCUACGGGACGCAGCAGUGAGGAGUAUUGGUCAAUGGGCUUACGCCUGAACCAGCCAAGUCGCGUGAGGGAAGACUGCCCUAUGGGUUGUACACCUCUUUUGUCAGGGAGCAAUUGGUGCUACGUGUAGCGUUAUCGAGAGUACCUGAAGAAAAAGCAUCGGCUAACUCCGUGCCAGCAGCCGCGGUAAUACGGAGGAUGCGAGCGUUAUCCGGAUUUAUUGGGUUUAAAGGGUGCGUAGGCGGAAUGCCAAGUCAGCGGUAAAAUCGCGGGGCUCAACCUCGAUCCGACGUUGAAACUG